AGCAGCCGCGGUAAUUCCAGCUCCAAUAGCGUAUAUUAAAGUUGUUGCAGUUAAAAAGCUCGUAGUUGAAUUUCGGGAUUAGUGCGCUGGUCAUGCCUUCGGUAUGUACUGGUGUUACUGGUUCCUACCUUCUGAAGAACCGUUAUGUCAUUCAUUUGGUGUGGCGGGGAAUCAGGACUGUUACUUUGAAAAAUUGAGUGUUUAAAGCAGGCUCGCGCUUGAAUACAUUAGCAUGGAAUAAUGAAAUAGGACGUUUGACCCUAUUUUGUUGGUUUCUAGGAUCGACGUAAUGAUUAAUAGGGAUAGUUGGGGGCAUUAGUAUUCAAUUGUCAGAGGUGAAAUUCUUGGAUUUAUUGAAGACUAACUACUGCGAAAGCAUUUGCCAAGGAUGUUUUCAUUAAUCAAGAACGAAAGUUAGGGGAUCGGAAGACGAUCAGAUACCGUCGUAGUCUUAACCAUAAACUAUGCCGACUAGGGAUCGGAUGAUGUUAUUUUUAAUGACUCAUUCGGCGCCUUAAC
rnacentral:rRNA from 1 species